AUGAACGCUGGCGGCGUGCCUAAUACAUGCAAGUCGAGCGAACGGACGAGAAGCUUGCUUCUCUGAUGUUAGCGGCGGACGGGUGAGUAACACGUGGAUAACCUACCUAUAAGACUGGGAUAACUUCGGGUAACCGGAGCUAAUACCGGAUAAUAUUUUGAACCGCAUGGUUCAAAAGUGAAAGACGGUCUUGCUGUCACUUAUAGAUGGAUCCGCGCUGCAUUAGCUAGUUGGUAAGGUAACGGCUUACCAAGGCAACGAUGCAUAGCCGACCUGAGAGGGUGAUCGGCCACACUGGAACUGAGACACGGUCCAGACUCCUACGGGAGGCAGCAGUAGGGAAUCUUCCGCAAUGGGCGAAAGCCUGACGGAGCAACGCCGCGUGAGUGAUGAAGGUCUUCGGAUCGUAAAACUCUGUUAUUAGGGAAGAACAUAUGUGUAAGUAACUGUGCACAUCUUGACGGUACCUAAUCAGAAAGCCACGGCUAACUACGUG
rnacentral:rRNA from 1 species